AUUAAAUUAAAAUAUGAUCUCUGGAGGAAUCUCACAAACCUUGUCACUUGCUUUUUCAGGGUGCUGAGAUAAAGGUAAGUGUGGUGCUUGGGCAGGGCCUGGAGUGUUGGAUUAGCUACUUGCUACUUAUUAGUGUUGACAAGAGUGUGUGCAGGGGGUGUGGCUGUGUGUUUAUUUUCAUCUCAGUGUGUCCUGAGCGUGUGAGCAGAAUAGAGAGCUACUAGUUGGUAUCAAUUGUCCAUAGCCUUAUAGCUAGAUCAAAACUUUGGUAUCACAUGGCCUCCCCUUCCUUCAACAACCUUUCUCCAGUUACUACUGGUACUAAAGUAAGUAGAAAAAUGCUAUCCUCAUUCCAUCUCCUCAUUCUAUCGCAUAGUCUGUUUCUCACUUUUGAUGAAGAGGCAGGUGAUGCCUUCAGAGGCUGGUCAUGCCGAGAUUGAGGUGUGGACGCCCGAGCCAGCCCUCUCCCCUAGCAGACGGGAGUCUCUGGGUCCCAGCAAGCCAGCCUGGGUGUGGAGCCUGCUCCUGCUCCUGCACGUGCUCCUGCUCUGUCCGUCCCUUGCACGUGCUGUUCUGAGCACUCUGAGAAACGUGCGAGUUCCCUUCACCCUCUCCUCCUUCCCCAAAGCAGCCCUGCGCUCUCCCCUCCCACCCUCCAGCCUGAAAUACUGCAUUUAUCUCAAUGUCAUUUCUUCAAGAUGUGAGCUGGAACAAAUCUGGAGCAGCUGCUUCAUUUCUAAGUGUCCUUUAGGGACCCCCUCGGCAGACACUUUGCGGAGUAUAAUGAUGACAUUCUAACGAGCAUUAAUGUACAUGUUGUCAUUUUUCUAUAUUUACUCUUCCCGCAGGAGGCAUAGCUCUGAGAAGGGAACACAAAAAGCAGGGAGAAAGUUUUGUGGGCAAACCUCACUGCCAGUCCCCUGGCUGAGAACGCCCGCUGCUGAGGAGAGAAAAGCUGGGGGAGAUGGAAUUUUCUAGAAGUCGAGAGGAUGGGAAAGGGGAGCAAGGGUGGGGAGAAGCCUGGGAGAGAAGUAGGAGGCAUGGACUUGGAAGGAGAUAAAGAUUUCAAAAUCAAUUUAGGACUCGGGGCUCUAUCUUUCUUCAGUUCGCAACCCUGACCACUGUGUGUGGCACUAAUUCAUUCAUUCGUUCAUCCAUUUAACAGGUGGUGGGCGAAUCCUUCCUACAUGGCAGACCUUUGCUAGGCUCCAAGGGUGCAGGGCAAAUAAGAAGGACAAGGACCUCUCUUAGCACUUAAUAGAUGACGAUGCAUAGGGAGGUCUACAGAGGGUUAGAUCGUUAUGUCAUUGGCUCAUCACAGCAACCCCACGAGGUAUGUGCUAUUUUCCUCAGGAAAAUUAAAUGAAUUCUCAUAGAUUCCAACAUGUGCACAGCCAAGCCAAGACUUCAACCCCGUUCUGUCCAGUGCUCAAAACUCUUUCACCUUCAUUAUUUUGCAGGAAACAUGAGAAGAAGUGGGUGGAGACUAAAUCCCAGUUCUGUAGACCCUGGGAUGUCGGUAAGUGGCUGUCAGCCCAAAUACACUGAGCAGUGCAGCGCAGGGGACUCCUUUUGCUUGGGGCUGGCCUCGAAAUCUGCCAGCCGAGGCUGCAGACAGGUAGGUAGAAAGCCCCAUUGGCUGCUCCCAGCCCGACUCCUGUUUUCCCUCUGAGUGGGUUCUGUAAAUAUCUCAUAAUGUGUUUUCUCUAAUUAAUGAAUUGAUUCACACUUAAUUAUACAUUUAUAUAUUUCUUCACUGUUUGCAAAGCUUCCAUAUUCAUUAUCACUGUAAUAACUCCACGGGGUCAGCAGGGGAAGAGUUAUUACCCCCGGUGGACAGCUCAGGAAGUAGGGGCUCGGGAUACCAGCCUGCUGCAAAUCAUCCUGCAGGUGGCUGCAGAGCCAGAAUCCAGCACCAGAUCUUCUGUGCCAAGCCUUCUGUUCUGAAAGCCUUGCGGUCUCCAUCAUCCGUGAAAGCUGGACAGGGUUACAGAGAUGCUCCUCCUCCUUUUCCAGGUGACCCCAGGCAACAUUUACAGUUAUGACAGCAGAAAGCAGAAAGGUUAUUUGCAAGAUUUCUACAGAAAAGUCUAUCCUGUUGUUAAUUCAAUGAAUUCAAGCAAGAAUGUUGCUGCCUUUCUUGCCCCAAGGGACAACAUCACUGAAUUCUGGAAAAGUUCUGCCUGCUCCAUUACAAGGCUCCUUUUCCCACCCUUGCCUGUGUAUCCUCCAGGGACCACGGCAAUGGGUGGUUCAUUCCCUAAGGGGGAUUUAUGAAUGUCUCUUUCAAUAUUAAUGCGAUGCCUGGCAGACGCAGUGUGGAGCAGCACAGGUUUGUUACUCGUCGCAGAGUGGGCCACGACUUCCCGUGAAUAACAGGGACGAGGUGCAGUGUGAAGUCAAGCUGGCACCAAGGAAGGUGCACGUGUUUACUAGCAUGUGUGAGACCCCUGCCCCUCUGAAGAGAGCAGUCUUAAUAGCAAAUAAUUCUACGCGAGCAGCGAGCAGUGCAAUGGCUUCGGACACUUUUAUAGAGACGAUGAGACAUGUUUGUACUACGGUGGUGACUGCAAAAUAGUUUUUUGGUGACUGGUUUAGUGUUAUCUCAAGUAAUUCCAUUUCUUUAAAUACGCCUAUGCCACUGCAAACUCCCAUAUUAGAAUGCCAAGGGUGGAGAACGACUGGGCCAGAUUCAUUGUUCUGUGACCAUUUAUUUAUCCAUUCAUCGAGAAAUAUUUAUUUCACCUCUACCUUGUAACAGUCACUGCUAAAAACUAAGGCAAAGCACAUGAGUCAAUCAGAGCUCCUACCCCUAAGGAACUUGCAUUCUGGCGAAGGGAACGGGGAAGUCAUAAUGCAAUGUGCUAAAUGCUGAUUUUAAAACACGCAAGUGAAUGAAAUGCAUGAAUGCAAUUCAUAAUACGCUGGUGUGUGUGUGUGUGUGUGUGUGUG